rnacentral:rRNA from 1 species
UACGAAGGGGGCUAGCGUUGUUCGGAUUUACUGGGCGUAAAGCGCACGUAGGCGGAUCGUUAAGUCGGGGGUGAAAUCCUGGAGCUCAACUCCAGAACUGCCUUCGAUACUGGCGACCUUGAGUCCGGAAGAGGUGAGUGGAACUCCUAGUGUAGAGGUGGAAUUCGUAGAUAUUAGGAAGAACACCAGUGGCGAAGGCGGCUCACUGGUCCGGUACUGACGCUGAGGUGCGAAAGCGUGGGGAGCAAACAGG